AGCGAACGCUGGCGGCAGGCCUAACACAUGCAAGUCGAGCGCCCCGCAAGGGGAGCGGCAGACGGGAGAGUAACACGUGGGAGCGUACCCCUCAGUUCGGAACAACCCAGGGAAACUUGGGCUAAUACCGGAUACGUCCGUAAGGAGAAAGAUUUAUCGCUGAAGGAUCGGCCCGCGUCUGAUUAGCUAGUUGGUGAGGUAACGGCUCACCAAGGCGACGAUCAGUAGCUGGUCUGAGAGGAUGAUCAGCCUCACUGGGACUGAGACACGGCCCAGACUCCUACGGGAGGCAGCAGUGGGGAAUAUUGGACAAUGGGCGCAAGCCUGAUCCAGCCAUGCCGCGUGGAUGAUGAAGGCCCUAGGGUUGUAAAGUCCUUUCGGCGGGGAAGAUAAUGACGGUACCCGCAGAAGAAGCCCCGGCUAACUUCGUGCCAGCCGCCGCAGUAACAC
rnacentral:rRNA from 1 species